GCCAACGACCAUAUCGGCUUGAAUACACCAGUUCUCGUCCGAUCACUGAAGUUAAGCAAGGCUGAGCGUGGUUAGUACUUGGAUGGGUGACCGCUUGGGAACACCACGUGCCGUUGGCA
rnacentral:rRNA from 1 species